AGAGGAUAGCUCAGGUGGUAGAGCACAUGCUCAGAAUGCAUGAGGUCCUGGGUUCAAUCCCCAGUACCUCCA
rnacentral:tRNA from 1 species